AGAACUGUCCAGGCACUCUUAAUUUUUGUUGGAAUGAUACCGAGAAGAUUAGUGUGGCUCCUGCACAAGGAUGACACACAAAUUUUCAAAGUGUUGGGGUUAGAG